rnacentral:lncRNA from 1 species
GUGAUGUCAAAAGUUGUUUAGGACUGGCAAGGCAACUCAGUGGAUAAAGGUGCUCUCCAUCAGCUAUAAGGACACGUGUUGGUUCUCCAGGAUUCACAUGGAGAAAGGUGAUAACCACCUCUGACCCAUACAGGUCUACUGCUGAAUAAGCUCACCUUCUCCAACAUUUUGAACUCUGGCUGACUAGUUCAGUGCUGUUCUGGCUGAAACUCCUUUCCAAGCUAACUGAUUCAAUCUGGCUUCUCUGAGAUUCUAACUGAAUUGCUCUGCUUGGCCUCAAAAUACCUCUGGUAUUUAGUUAUAAUCUUCUGGCUCCUUAUUAGUCUCUAGCUUCAACUGCCUCUAUUGACCUGCACUGAACUGAAUGAGGUGACAAUUAUCUCAACUCUACUUUGCUGCACUCACUUCACUGUCUCUUGACUAUAUUUUUCACCCUCUCUCUUGUGCUGCUCUUAAAUACUUUGUCUUGACUGUGCUGUUCCCAUGAGAAUUGGGCAUACCCUAUCUCUGACUCAUUUUGUCAAAUCUUUCUCUGAUUGGCACUAUCUAUCCCUAAAUUUGGCAUCAUUGCUUGGCAUUAAAGGUGGGUAUUAAG